GGUCGAGCUACUGAUGAAGGCAUGCACAUGCAAUUUGGUGACGGAAACUGACGUUUGUGAUCUAUAUGCGUUAGUGGAGACUUGCGAGAUGGCAAUGUGUUUAAUUUUAGUUCGAGAUAGGUGGAAUCACCUCAGCGGUGUGUGAAAGAGGGAGAGCGAGGCGAGGGAACAAGAGGGGAGGGGGCGGGGGUGUAUGGACCUCACUGGCUACGGGACCUACAGGCACCCCGAUUGUGCUCUGCUCUCAUCAUUUUUGGAGGUGAGGACAAAAGAAAAAAGGGGAAAUCGGAAGAAAGGCCCGGGAUCUGAGUGUCGUGACGGCCCCCCCGACUUCGCCGCCGCUGGUCGGGGUUGUCUGGACUUAAAAGGAGUUGUGAAGGCUUCUGGUCAGCAGCUCCCGGAAAAGGAACUUCUCUGCCUGGAAAUACUGAAGAGAAAACAGGAGCUUGAAUUGACUGAACUCGAAGUGGAAUAAAUGGAUUAUCCUCCUUUUGGAAAAUUGUUGCCCUGGAACUAGGUAGAAUUAAAUGAUGGUUGACAGAAAGAAAGAAAGGUAAGGCAGCUACAUGCUGAAGAUACAGCAGAGCUCCAAGAAGAAUCUGAACUCAAGAGUCAAGAAAAGAACAAUUAAUAAAUAGGGACCAAAGAUCUCUACAGUCCGAAUGAAUGCAUGCCGUAGCAAAAAAACAGUAUUUGAAAGGGAAUGACCAAGAAAAGGAACAUCUCAAAAAGUAUUACACUCUGCAUCCAAGAGCUGAUGAGAAUAUCAAUGGAGUGUUUGCCUCUGGGAGUGUUUAAUGAGGGUCUGUAUUCAGACCUCCUGAUUCGAGUUACUGCAGUUUUGGUCUCGCAUUGGUGUGAGUCAGGUCCUGGCAAACAUAUCGAUGAACUGAAGGAUUGUUGUGACAGAACACAUUCUCAAUGGUUUUAUUGAGAUUGUUUUUGCACACGAUGCUAUUGGACCACAACAUAAUUCAAUCCUAACAUAGCUCUGUUUGCUUGAGCUGUUAUAAUAGCGGAGCGUAUACAUGUAAAGACAUUUGAGGUUGAACAUAUCACAUGGUGGUGUGUCAGACGUCUAUGAUAUCAUUGCCUGCUCAGUGCCAAACUGCUUCACUUUUAAUCUUGUAUUUUUCUGCAGAAGAAGCCUGCUCACUACAUCUUUAUUAUUUUCUUCUAUUUCUUUCUUUUUUUUGAAAUUCCAUUUUUUGAGACCCAGCUGUAAAGUGAACCUUUUUUCUUUCUUUUUCUUUUUUCUUUUUUUAAGUGAAAACAAUGAUACCAUUAUCACAUUGAAGAAUUAAGACUUUUACCAUUUGGCCUUUUCAUAUAUUGAUAAAGAUCCUCUUCUUUUCAACGUCCCUACCCACUUUCUGAUACAAGGAAGUGAUUAUAACAUCUGCGAUAAAUAUAUAUAUAUAUAUAUAUAUAU
rnacentral:lncRNA from 1 species